UACGUAGGGUGCGAGCGUUGUCCGGAAUCACUGGGCGUAAAGGGUGCGUAGGCGGGUCUUUAAGUCAGGGGUGAAAUCCUGGAGCUCAACUCCAGAACUGCCUUUGAUACUGAAGAUCUUGAGUUCGGGAGAGGUGAGUGGAACUGCGAGUGUAGAGGUGGAAUUCGUAGAUAUUCGCAAGAACACCAGUGGCGAAGGCGGCUCACUGGCCCGAUACUGACGCUGAGGCACGAAAGCGUGGGGAGCAAACAGG
rnacentral:rRNA from 1 species